UUGAAAUUCUUUGACGUAUUUUUAUUCUGACUCUAUAUAAUCUUAUACAUUUGUAAGAAAUUAUUCAAAAGGUAUUGAAAUAAUUAGAUUAUCUUAAUUAAAAUGACAGACGACAAGCUCUCCAUGUGUACUUUUAAAAAUUCAUGAAUAAGAUAUAAAGAAGCCUCUAUGGCUCAGCAAUAUGAAAACUGGAAUGAUGAUAAUUAAUUCAGAUAUAUAUCCGAAAAGCCAUAACGCCAUAGUGGCCAAUAAAAUUUAACACUGAUGGGUAUAUAAAGAGUAAACUUCUCAUUGCAGUAUCAUAUAAGAGAACACCCAGGUAUAAUGAUGCUACCGUUUUUUUCCUGGGUAAUUUGCUAUCGAUAACCUGAUAGAUUAUAUUUUCUCAAUGCGAUUAUACCUAGAAACGAAUCAGUAAUGAAAGUAUAUCUCGCAUAAAUGAAAUCAAAGUUAUUAACAGAUAAAUAAUAAAUGAUCUAGAACAGAAGAAACAUAGGAUAUUUGAAACAAAAUUGAUAGACUAAUCUGAUAUCUAUUGGCCAAGAAACCACUGAGAACACCGUUGUAGAAGGGUUUCUACAUCGAUGAGCUUUUCAAGGCAGAGAAAUCCAAAGCCUUCUUCGAAUAGCGUCAUGCACUGAAGCCGUAACAUCGUUGUUGCUUAAAAAACCACACGACAAUUAAACUUAACCAUAAGAAACACUUGAAGCCCUAAUGGUCAUCAAAAAGCCAUCAAACAAUUCUGCUUGCACCUUGGAAGUUACACAUUGUUCACCACAGUAAAUAUAAAUUUUCCACAAGGUAUUGGAGCACUCAUAACCUAGUUUUUAUGUACUUGUAACAUCAUAAAGAAACACAUAAAUUGUGGAACAUAAAUGAAUAUUUAAGUGUGAUGGUCAUUCGAGAACGUGUUAAAAUUAGCGUUAAAAUUUCACGUAAUUUAAUGAUGGAUUAAAGAGUGUAAUGAAUUAUUCGUUGUAAUUUAUAUGUCUUGUUCAGUUACCAUAACAUACUGCAAUAAUUCACUCUGUGAAAUUUAUUGUUUCGAGUUUCUUUCUGAUUUGUGUGGAACUCUUGGUUAAGUGUUUUGCUGGACUAUAUUGGAAGAUUGCAACUGGGUUGUUUUGUUUCGAAAUGCACGAAGAAGACAGGAUCUGCGUUAGCCGAAAGAGAGUCAGCCCAAACGGAAGUAGUAAAACCGGAACCCCAUCCUCUAUCCCCUAUCGGAGUUCUCUCAAAUAGAUGCGUCGUCACAACCGACGCUCAGGAUGUGACUAUAACCACUUUAGCUUGGAUUGCUUCUUUUCUGAUUGAGUCAUAUACUGCCGGACUAUAGAACUUUUAUUCCCUUUCGAUAAUGUCCUCUCUAUGGGCUGUCGAGGACAUUAAAAGACAAAUGAGUUGAGUGGACCUAAGACCGUAGCGAGCAGAAAUGAAGGAAAAACAUUUCUAUCUGAAAAUUCCAUUACUGAAUGCACUAUAGCAAAUCAUUCAAUAAAUAUUCCAUUUUUUCUUUCUUUUAUAUCAUAUGGUUUGAAAUAGGUUCUUGAAAAUCAAUUCUCUCACUUUAACUAAUUUUUAUUUAUUGUCCCCGAACUUUAAGUUUCGUUUUGUGAUAUGUUUUUUGUUGCAUUAUUGUUUUUUCUUAGUCAAAAUAAUGUGAAAUAUGUUAACCCUACUUUUUUUGUUAUUAUUGAUGCAUUUAAAAUUCGUGUAUAUAUUUUUAUCACGAAAAAUAAACAGCCCCUCCAGAA